AUAAGAUCAAUGCUUUACUUGCAUUUUAACUCUAUGGCUAAAUUAAAGCUAUACCUUGAUGUGUCAUCUUUAAAAGACAAAAUGAGGUGUGAAAGACAAUAGACUGCGUGCAUGUUGAAUUUGCUCACAAAAUGACACAAAAAUUGACAAAAUUGAGUAACUAU